rnacentral:rRNA from 1 species
UACGAAGGGGGGCUAGCGUUGCUCGGAAUCACUGGGCGUAAAGGGUGCGUAGGCGGGUCUUUUAAGUCAGGGGUGAAAUCCUGGAGCUCAACUCCAGAACUGCCUUUGAUACUGAGGAUCUCGAGUUCGGGAGAGGUGAGUGGAACUGCGAGUGUAGAGGUGAAAUUCGUAGAUAUUCGCAAGAACACCAGUGGCGAAGGCGGCUCACUGGCCCGAUACUGACGCUGAGGCACGAAAGCGUGGGGAGCAAACAGG